rnacentral:lncRNA from 1 species
UUUUUUUGUUAAAAUAAUUGUUUAAUUCUGCUCAAGUUAAUAAAACAAAAGGAGAAUAUAUAAUAUGAGAACGGGUAAAAAUAAUUUUUAUAGACAAAGAAUAAAAAAAAGAAACUAGACUAGUAUACUAUUAAUAGUACGAAAUCAUUGGUGCUACCAAAUUUUCAACUCUUGAACGAAGGAAUGUAUUGUUAUGAUACUUACGGUCCCCUAAUGUUGAGUGGGUGGCUGGUUGAAUACUACAAUCUAACAUGUGAAAAUAGUUAAAGUGAUAAAUUUAACGGUAAAAACUUGAUAGCACCAAGUAUUUGGUGCUAUUGAUAGCAUUAUAACCGGACUCCAAAAAAAAAGAAAAGAAAUUUGAUAUUACGAUAAAGAUUUUUUUUUGAUUGAGAGAAAAAUAGCAAGCUAUCCACUUUUUAAAAAUUUGAUACAACUAGACUUCCAACUUAGGAUCUCGAAUAUCAACCAUCAAACUUUUAACAAAUCUAAAGUAUUGAAAUAAAAAGUUCGAAGGUAAAAUACAAAAAAUAAUACAUUCACUUACAGAUUUUAUAAUAUUUUAUAUAUUAUGAUACACUGAUUCGAAGGAUUUCAAUUGGAUGGCUGAUAUAGUUAAAAGUUUGAUAUUUAAUCCAUUAGCAUAAAAAUAAUUACAACCGACAAAAGUACUAAUAUAAAAGUAAAUAUCACUUAAGCUUAAAUUAAAAUCAUACAACUUUGUANAUAUUUUAUAUAUUAUGAUACACUGAUUCGAAGGAUUUCAAUUGGAUGGCUGAUAUAGUUAAAAAAAAGUGAUUUAAUCCAUUAGCAUAAAAAUAAUUACAACCG